UACGAAGGGGGCUAGCGUUGUUCGGAAUUACUGGGCGUAAAGCGCGCGCAGGCGGCUAUCCAAGUCAGUGGUGAAAGCCCGGAGCUCAACUCCGGAACUGCCAUUGAAACUGUUUAGCUUGAGGAUGAGAGAGGUGAGUGGAAUUCCCAGUGUAGAGGUGAAAUUCGUAGAUAUUCGGAGGAACACCAGUGGCGAAGGCGGCUCACUGGUCCAUUACUGACGCUGAGGUGCGAAAGCGUGGGGAGCAAACAGG
rnacentral:rRNA from 1 species